GUAAUGUCUGGGAAACUGCCUGAUGGAGGGGGAGUAACUACUGGAAACGGUAGCUAAUACCGCAUAACGUCGCAAGACCAAAGAGGGGGACCUUCGGGCCUCUUGCCAUCAGAUGUGCCCAGAUGGGAUUAGCUAGUAGGUGGGGUAACGGCUCACCUAGGCGACAAUCCCUAGCUGGUCUGAGAGGAUGACCAGCCACACUGGAACUGAGACACGGUCCAGACUCCUACGGGAGGCAGCAUG
rnacentral:rRNA from 1 species